AAACAGACUCCCACGGACACGCACCGAGGGAAGAUCCCAGGAGGACACAAUGAGACGCAGCCGUCUGCAGGUCCAGGAGGGAGAACCCCGCACGGCUGGCUCCACAGUCUUGGGCUUCCAGCUUCCAGAACUGGCUCCGCAUACCCGUUCCUGUGCUCCUCCUGUGAGCUGGGCCCCUCACCUCACUCACGGCGAGGGGCUGCACACUUGCCCACAAGGACCAUCCCACCCAGCCCCUGUCCCUGGCGCCAAAGGCCUUCCCACCGCAAGAAGGGGCCUGAAAGUGACCCGGCCUGCCCGGAGCCCCAGCGGGCCUGUGGAUUCCUGACAGAUUGGGAUGUGCUUCUGAGCGAGGGAAUUCUGGUCUAUAAAUGGAAUCUGCAUGAGUGCUUUGCACCUUCCCUUCCGCCAGCCGGCUCUAACUUGGCUUCGUCAGUAGGAACUUCUGACUUCCUUGGUCCAACCAUGGCAUCUUCCCAGCUGUAGGCCUGGAGUUUCCAUGGCUUUGGCGUGGCUUCUGUCUGAGAUGUCCGAUUGAUAACACCACAGAGCAACCUACAAAUAGCACAGUAACCCCCAUCUCUUGAAGACCGAGGAACUGCAGACUCGGCCCCCGGGUCCACCUGGCCUGGGAUUGGGGCACUGCCCCUCCUGGCCCUGUGGGCUGGCUGAGGGCCAUCCUGACCUUCGCUCGCACAGCAGGAUGCCCUCCUGGCAGCACAUUCAUGGGACGUCUCUUGUCAUAGAGUAAUUUUUCCAAAGGCAAUGAAACGAUUUGUCACCCAUAAUUGUACCCCCCGCUUCCUUUGCUGGCUGACUUCUCAUCCCUCUGCAGCCCAGCCCUGUGCUGGGAAGCCACGUCCAAAUAUGGUGAAAGGCCAGCACCUAGCUGCUUGUGAGCUAUCAAGUCAGCCUUCAAUUGGAAACAUUUCUUUUUUGUUUUUGUUGUUGUUGUUGUUGUUUAUUGUGAAAUGUGUUCUAGUACAUGACAUAAUCUCUGUUGAUAGGUAAUACCGUUGGUUUUUAAAAAAAAAAUAUU